rfam:Chelonia mydas contig105147, whole genome shotgun sequence.
GGAAGGAUGGCCCAGUGGUUAGGGCGCUGACACAGAACCUGGGUUCAAUUCUCUGCUCUGCCA